rnacentral:rRNA from 1 species
GAUGAACGCUGGCGGUAUGCCUAACACAUGCAAGUCGUACGAGAGUUUUUAACUCUAGUGGCGGACGGGUGGGUAACACGUGAGAAUUUGCCUUUAGGAGGGGGAUAACAAUUGGAAACGAAUGCUAAUACCCCAUAUGCUUUUGAGUGAAACGGAUUUAUCCGCCUAGAGAGAAGCUCGCGGCUGAUUAGCUUGUUGGUAAGGUAAGAGCUUACCAAGGCGACGAUCAGUAUCUGGUUUGAGAGGACGAUCAGACACACUGGAACUGAGACACGGUCCAGACUCCUACGGGAGGCAGCAGUGGGGAAUUUUCCGCAAUGGGCGAAAGCCUGACGGAGCAAUACCGCGUGAGGGAAGAAUGCCUAUGGGUUGUAAACCUCUUUUUUCAGGGAGGAACAAAAUGACGUGUACCUGAAGAAUAAGCAUCGGCUAACUCCGUG